GAUCAUGGCUCAGAACGACGCUGGCGGCAUGCCUAACACAUGCAAGUCGAACGAAGGCUUCGGCCUUAGUGGCGCACGGGUGCGUAACGCGUGGGAACCUGCCCCUCGGUUCGGAAUAACAGUUAGAAAUGACUGCUAAUACCGGAUGAUGACUUCGGUCCAAAGAUUUAUCGCCGAGGGAUGGGCCCGCGUAGGAUUAGCUAGUUGGUGGGGUAAAGGCCUACCAAGGCGACGAUCCUUAGCUGGUCUGAGAGGAUGAUCAGCCACACUGGGACUGAGACACGGCCCAGACUCCUACGGGAGGCAGCAGUGGGGAAUAUUGGACAAUGGGCGAAAGCCUGAUCCAGCAAUGCCGCGUGAGUGAUGAAGGCCUUAGGGUUGUAAAGCUCUUUUACCAGGGAUGAUAAUGACAGUACCUGGAGAAUAAGCUCCGGCUAACUCCGUG
rnacentral:rRNA from 1 species